rnacentral:snoRNA from 1 species
CACGAUGAUGAGACUCUCUCAUUCACCUGAGCGUGAGGUUGUGUGAUCUGAUGUCUGAUCUUCUCCAAGAUUAGAUCACACCUCGAUGAUCGCGCCCUAACUCUCGAGUUAGGCGGGUGAAUGAGGUGUCUGAGUG